rnacentral:rRNA from 1 species
GAUGAACGCUGGCGGCGUGCCUAAUACAUGCAAGUCGAGCGAACAGAUCAGGAGCUUGCUCCUUUGACGUUAUCGGCGGACGGGUGAGUUACACGUGGAUAACCUACCUAUCAGACUGGGAUAACUUCGGGAAACCGGAGCUAAUACCGGAUAACAUAUUGAACCGCAUGGUUCAAUAGUGAAAGGCGGCUUUGCUGUCACUUAUAGAUUGAUCCGCGCCGUAUUAGCUAGUUGGUAAGGUAACGGCUUACCAAGGCAACGAUACGUAGCCGACCUGAGAGGGUGAUCGGACACACUGGAACUGAGACACGGUCCAGACUCCUACGGGAGGCAGCAGUAGGGAAUCUUACGCAAUGGGCGAAAGCCUGACGGAGCAACGCCGCGUGAGUGAUGAAGGUCUACGGAUCGUAAAACGAUGUUAUCAGGGAAGAACAAAUGUGUAAGUAACUGUGCACAUCUUGACGGUACCGGAUCAGAAAGCCACGGCUAACUACGUG